AUGGUGGAGAGGAGGUUUCUCGGCGCGUGCUUGCUGCUGCUCGCGGCGGUGCUCGCCGACGGCGACGGCGAGGAGGGGAACCGGGGCGUCCGCCUGCUGGACGCCGGGAGGCUCGAGAAGUUCGUGGACGAGCUGCCGGACAUGCCCGUGCUGCGCGGGUACGGCGUGGCGGAGGGCGGGAACCUCGUCGCCGGCGAGCUCGCCGUCGGCAUGUACGACACCAUGUGGAAAUUCCACCGCGACCUACCGGCGACGCGAGUGUUCGCCUACGGCGCGAGCAAGGAGACGGCCACCGUGCCGGGGCCAACCAUCGUGGCCAUGAAGGGGGUGCCCACACGCGUGACGUGGACCAACCACCUCCCGCCGCGCCACAUCCUCCCGUGGGACAGAUCGCUGGCCACCGCGCGGCUCGGCAACGGCACCGGCAUCCCCACCGUCGCUCACCUCCACGGCGGCGUGCAGCAGUCCACCUCCGACGGCCACUCCAUGGCCUGGUUCACGUCCGGCUUCGCCGCCACGGGCCCACACUUCGACUCGCCGGCGUACGAGUACCCGAACCAGCAGCCUCCCGGUAACCUCUGGUACCACGACCACGCCAUGGGCCUCACCCGCGUCAACAUCCUCGCGGGCCUCCUCGGCGCGUACCGUGUCGCCGACCCGGCAGCCGAGGCGCCCCUCGGCCUCCCCUCCGGCGCGGAGUUCGACCGGAACCUCGUCCUCUUCGACCGCGACUUCAGGAGCGACGGCGCGCUCUUCAUGAACGCCACGGGCAACAACCCCGACGUGCACCCGCAGUGGCAGCCCGAGUACUUCGGCGCCAUCGUCGUCGCCAACGGCAAGGCCUGGCCCUUCCUACGCGUGCGGCGCCGGCGGUACCGCUUCCGCAUCCUCAACGCCAGCAACGCGCGCUUCUUCCGCCUCUCGCUCUCCGGCGGCCUCCGCUUCGUGCACGUCGGCUCCGACUCCGUGUACCUCGCCCGGCCGGUGCCCACGGAGGGGUUCUUGCUCGCGCCGUCGGAGAUCGCGGAUGUUGUCAUCGACUUCGCCGGGGCCAAGCACGACGCGGUGACCCUGCGGUCCGACGCGCCGGCGCCGUACCCCGGCGACCCGGGCGAGAAGGCGGAUACGGUGGCGGUGAUGAAGUUCGUGGUCGCGAGUAAACCGGAGCACGACCCGUCGACCGUGCCGGCGACGCUGAUGCCGCGGUACCCGAAGCCGGACGCGCGGAAGGCGAUGGUGACCAGGCACAUCGCCAUGUACGAGUACACCAAGAACGGCACGGACGAGCCGACGCACCUGUACCUGAACGGGGCGGCGUACACUGACCCGGUGACGGAGACGCCGCGGGAGGGCACGUCGGAGCUGUGGGAGGUGAUCAACCUCACCGACGACAACCACCCACUCCACGUGCACCUGGCGGUCUUCACCGUGCUGAAGCAGAGGUCGCUCCGGCGCGUCGACGAGUUCAGGGACUGCAUGAGGGGGAGCGCGAGCGGCGGCGCCGGCGGCCGGAACGACGCCCUCGCGUGCGGGAUGCAGCGGCACCUCGCCGGAGGGCGGAGGCACGUCGUGCCGCGACAGGAGCGUGGAUGGAAGAACGUGUUCAAGGUGCGGCCCAGCACGGUGGCCACGCUGCUCGUGCGGUUCAAGCCGCUGGAGGAGUCGUCGGCGACGGCAUCGUCCGGGAAGAGCGGGCGCUUCCCCUUCGACGUCACCGCCGGCCCCGGCUACGUCUACCAUUGCCAUAUUUUGGAUCAUGAAGACAACGAGAUGAUGAGGCCGAUGAAGAUUGUGCAUUAG
rnacentral:rRNA from 1 species